UUUUAAUCAAUUAUCCUAAAACACCACUCACGUCGUUGUAGUAUUUUAGGUUAUCAAUCCAAAUGGGUGUGAUGCUAAUAAUCAAGAUGUGAUCAGAAGUCACUAAGUCAAGCCAAACAAUAACAGGUUUUGGUGUGUUCUAGCAGUCCUAAGUGAACAUGCAGAAAAUAGAAAUUCAAGCAAUAAAAUACUCGACCAACAUAGCUCUUUGCAGAGCACUGGGUGAGGUCGAGUGACAGGUCGAGUUACAGACAGGAAUUACAACACAGAUACUCGACUGCACAAUCUGUUGCCAGACAACUGGGUGGUCGAGUAUGAGGUCGAGUAACAAGAAAGAAUUGCAGAAAUUAAACAACAGAUGACAAGAUGCAGUAAUCAGAUAAAGAAUUCCCGAGAAUGGGGUAAUUGAGUAGCUUCGUUUCCUCAGUUUACAGGUAAUUGACAUGCUCAAUAAAUUAACCCUAGACAACAAGUUCAUUAACCAAAUCUAAGUGCCACCGCAACAGAGACUCUCAAGUUAACCUAGUCCCAGACUCAAUCACCAUUGACGAGAGCUAGCCUAACAGGCAUUACGAAUCAACAAGUUAAAGCCAAAACGCUCUCUGCAACCAAUACCUUGGUAUAGAGUCACGAAUCUCUGGAAUUAGUGGUUCAGACAUUUCAUCGAACACCUUUUGGGCGCGGAAAUGUCUAGGCUCAAAUUCCAGUUGAUCAGAAAGCAAUAGACAUUAAGAACAACUAAUCCAGAAGGGAUCUAUCAAUCAAUACUCAAUCACCUAGCAUACUGAGAAUUCUACACUACUCUAACCCAUCCUCAGAAACCUAUUCACUACUCAGACAUCAUAACAGAAAGCAUAAACGUUGAACAAAUUAAAAACAUGAUAACAACAGUGUAACAGCAGGAUGAUAACAGAAUGAACAACAGUAAAAGAAAUCAAGAACGAAUGCUGAAUACUGAAUAGAUAAAGAGAAAUCCAGAUUACAAAGGUCUAGAACACAGUGUCUGCGGAAUAAAACUAGAUAUAAAACUUGUUUGCGAAAAUGUGAAGUACAUGCUACUUAUAGCCAAAUAUUCCGAAACCCUAAUACUUAAAACGACGCAGUAUUGGGACGAAUUAAGAAUAGCUGGAGUCUUCUUUUCUUCCUUGUGCUCGAGUGUCUGGUUGAGUGCGGAAUGAAGAAGGCUCUGAAGCUUGUCAUCGAGUAUGCAGUCGAGUGGUGGUGAUGGUGAUACUCGACUUCCAGGUAGAGUGAUGAGGUCGAGUAGUGGUCUGGCAAUGAAGGUGAAGACACUCGACCUCGGGGUCGAGUGAUGUGAUCGAGUGAUGGUCAGGUGAUGGGAUGAAGACACUCGACCUCGGGGUCGAGUGAUGUGGUGAAGUAAUGAUGUCCUCUACUCGACCAGGGGGUCGAGUCAUCUGUUGAGAUCUUGAAGCUCCUACUCGACCUCGGGGUCGAGUGGUUUGACAUGAUCAGGCCCGCUUCUUCCAGAUAGCUCGUUAACAGCUCCAAAUCACCUGAAAUCAACGCAAAUAUGCAACAUGCAUGCAAAUCUAUCCUAAACAUGUAAAGUGAUGACAAAUGAUGAGAAAUGGUAUUAAACAGUGAUGAUAUGAUGCUAAAGUGAUGACAAAUGGAUGCUCAAAACAUGCAAAAUACACACUUAUCAACUCCCCCAAACUUAGUCUUUGCUUGCCCUCAAGCAAACAAUCAAGAACAAGCUGGAGGUGAGGUUUGAAAGCAGGGACUCAGAGCCAAAGCACCAGAUAAACCAGAUGAAAUCAAUGUCCAAGUUGAAAGUUCUAAGCUGCAAGAUCGAAUUCUACUUAAAAACGUUAGCCAUGCCUCAUCAUCAAUCAAUCCGACUCAUAUGCUCGACCUACACAAGUUUUCAAAUCUACCAAUCCCUUUAACAUUCAUUACUUCUGGAACGUGAAUCAAGCAAUGCAUCAUCAAUGAACUCAUUUGGCUAAGGUAAAAGGUCGUGAGACAAAGAUGGUCCCUUACAGAAUAGGCUUCAGUAACAGGGGAUCUCUCAAAAAAUGAUUAAGCUUUAGUAGAAUGCUAAAGGUAAGUCCCAAGCUAUGCAUAUAGAGAUAAGAUCCCAUCUACCCAGAGUACAUCAAAUGAAGCUCUAAUGGCAAUCCCAUCUCCAAUCCCAAUAUAAGAACUUAACUCUACCCUUUGCAUUCAUGAAUCUUUUAAGCCCUUUUUCUAAUCAUUCUUUUCUUUUCUCUUAACUCUAGGAGAAGCUUUCUCAACACUUUGAUACAUCUAGCGGAUUUGGAUUUCUUUAACAACUAAGGUUCCCGUUUUUAACAUUUUAAAACCAAGGGCUUUUGCCCAUCUUCAAUAGCUAACAAGAACUCUUUCUUUUCUUUACAAAUCCCAAAACCUUUACUAGACUUUUUCUGCUUCUUUAGCUUACUUCACCUAGAGUCCUUUACCUUUUCUUAUCAAUGAAUCGACCCUUUUUU
rnacentral:sRNA from 1 species